UACGUAGGGCGCAAGCGUUGUCCGGAAUUAUUGGGCGUAAAGAGCUCGUAGGCGGUUUGUCGCGUCUGCUGUGAAAACCUAAGGCUCAACCUUGGGCUUGCAGUGGGUACGGGCAGACUAGAGUGCGGUAGGGGUGACUGGAAUUCCUGGUGUAGCGGUGAAAUGCGCAGAUAUCAGGAGGAACACCAGUGGCGAAGGCGGUGCUCUGGGCCGGUACUGACGCUGAGGAGCGAAAGCGUGGGGAGCAAACAGG
rnacentral:rRNA from 1 species